rnacentral:lncRNA from 1 species
AGAAAUACUUCAUAUAUUAAAUCAACUCGGUUGUAUUACAUGGAACACAAUCCAAACAGUACAUACAUGAUUUUCUAUACAUUGACCAUGAAAAUGACAUACUACACUGUAGACAUAAAACUAUCUGGUAGCAUCCCAUUCUCCACCUUGCAUUCAACAACAUCCAUUCAUCUUGGCAAUCUUCGGCAACAAAGAACUGCCAUGAAUGAGUAAAGUAACAUUAGAGAAAAAAAUCAGGUCAAUAGAGCAAUUAAAAAGGAGAAACAUACAAAGGUUGAAGGCCAUGUUUAAGUUUUAGUCAGUACCUUCUUCGUCUUCCCACGAUUCAUUCUGCUCGAUAACCUUCAAUGACAUUGUUACGAGAUGAUCACCACCCUGCCCAUCACUCAGUAUUCGGUCUGAUUGGCAAAGGCCAACGUAACAACUGAAAUAAAUUUAGCAUAUAGAAAUGGAAGCCCGCAUGUAACACUUAUUCUGGAGUUGAUCCUUUGUUGAAGGCUCACAUCGGUCUAGUUUAAUCUGAAUGAUCAACAAAAAUCCUUGUCUUUUCUUAUUCCCAUAUGAGACUUGAUUUAAGUGUAACAAUGCUUAAAUCAGUACUAGGAAUCCCACUGUAUUAGGCACUCAUCUCAAAAUUUGUUUCCGUGAUCUUUUUCUUUUCUUUUUCACAUGUCGCAAGCCAAACAUACAUCAGGACCAUAUAUCGAGCAUUGUAGACGUGCAUGUCGUAAUAAACAUGUUUCUCUCUUGGCACAAAAAGAAAAUUAUCAUCCUAAGGUCAAAGAUUAUGGUCACAUUUCAUUGUAAUAUACACAAAAAAUGUAAAUUGUAUGCUCCGCUGGGUAAUUGCAACUUUAAGAUACAAACACACACAAUGUUCUCUUUUUCUCCAAACAUCUAAAUAAAGAAGAUAACUUGAACUAACCUCACAAAAAGAAAACUAGAACUAAUAUAAUGAAACUGAUUGUGUAACUUACAUUCAGGUGUACAUUUUGUUCCAUCGAACUUCUGCAGACCGACACAAGUCCCUUUGACAGCAUUGUCGUUGUACACCAGUAUUGUACGUAUAUUCCUACCUGUGUAUUUGGGAAUACAGUCCAUGUAAAUAACAAACUAGGUUUCUGUGUAUUUUGUCACCAGUUCCUCCAGGCAAGUCUGAAAGGAACCCAAAUGUGCUAUCCUGAUCCAUAGAAGUCUCAGUCAAUGCAACUCAUGAUAUAACUUCUUUCUAAAAUGCUUCCUAUAUUAUAAGCACCUUUCGUAGACAGUUAAACUGAAAAUGCAAUAUAGAGCUCUGAAGCACCCAUCUAUGCACCGGCCAUUCACAAGGAGAGUACUAACAUAAUUUAUGCACCCAUUAAUGCAUCUCUGCUGCUGCAUAUUCAAAGUACAUAGUUUUAGUCGGUACUAACUACUCCUGGGUGCUAAGAUAUAUGAUGCACAUCACCUCGGUGCUAGGAUUAGCAGUAAUUCUUAGGCAUUAGCAGAAUUUUUUCUCUCUGUUCAUCUCAAAUUUACCAAUGAUUUUGAGCGUAAUAAAAAAACACAGUUUACCUCAUGAAUAUAGUGAUUUACUCAACUAGGCACUAAGCAUCAUCAAUCACACACAAAACUAAUCAAUCGCCAAAUGAACUAAAAUAGCAGAUUCAUUCUAGAAAAACUUUCUUUGACUGAGAACAACUCAUUAGACUAUCCCAACGAAUUAGUCAUUCCAAACAUAAAAAUAAAUGGAUCAAUUACACACUGUUUGAAAGCAGUACCAUGUGUUAGUUUUCUGUGUACAUUAGUUUGCAUUAACAAUUUCCCUGAUUGCACGACUGCAUCAACAUGAGUAGGCAUUAGCAUGCAAAAUAUUAAGAAGCUAUAAUUCAACUGAAGUAAACUUGCAGAAGCAAUCCAUUUUGUAAUUCACGGCUCUCAACGGUUUUCUGUAGCAGAUCUGAGGCCAAAACAAGUUGGACCAAACAACACCACUCUACUAUUAAGCAUCAAAAGAAUAGAAUAAAUUAUGAUUCCAAGCUCUAGUCUAGUGUGUACGCCUAUCCGAGGGGGUUAAGUGGGCAUAUGCAGCUUUGAUUUAUGAUUGGAGGGAGUUGGUAGUUGUCCCAUACAUUGGCUGGAUGAACGGAGGGGCUGAUGACGUGCCGACUAGAUCCUUGCUCUGGUAGUCCAUGCAUGUCUUCGGUGUUGCACAUGGUGGCAGUAGUAUGAGUGAGGGAUAGAGGUAGAAGUAAACACUCACAAUUACACUGUCUCAAAGGCGGGAAUGAAAAGGGGAGGGACAAACCAUCAUGGCUAGGCAUCCUCUGAUUUACGAAGUGGAGUGAUAUGUAUACCGGUGCAAGCCAGCG